UACGUAGGGUGCAAGCGUAAUCGGAAUUACUGGGCGUAAAGCGUGCGCAGGCGGUUUUGUAAGUCUGUCGUGAAAGCCCGGGCUCCAACCUGGGGAAUUGCGAUGGAGACUGCAAGGCUUGAAUCUGGCAGAGGGGGGGUAGGAAUUCCACGGUGUAGCAGUGAAAUGCGUAGAGAUGUGGAGGAACACCGAUGGCGAAGGCAGCCCCCCUGGGGUCAAGAUUGACGCUCAUGCACGAAAGCGUGGGGAGCAAACAGGAUAGAAACCCGAGG
rnacentral:rRNA from 1 species